rnacentral:tRNA from 1 species
UGGGAUGUAGCUCAGUGUCAAAGCAUUUGCCUAACAUGUAAAAUUCUGGGUUUUAUCCCCAGUGUCACAA